GGGUUGUGAGGUUAAGCGACUAAGCGUACACGGUGGAUGCCCUGGCAGUCAGAGGCGAUGAAGGGCGUGCUAAUCUGCGAUAAGCGCCGGUAAGGUGAUAUGAACCGUUAUAACCGGCGAUACCCGAAUGGGGAAACCCAGUGUGACUCGUCACACUAUCAUUAACUGAAUCCAUAGGUUAAUGAGGCGAACCGGGGGAACUGAAACAUCUAAGUACCCCGAGGAAAAGAAAUCAACCGAGAUUCCCCCAGUAGCGGCGAGCGAACGGGGAGGAGCCCAGAGCCUGAAUCAGCAUGUGUGUUAGUGGAAGCGUCUGGAAAGGCGCGCGAUACAGGGUGACAGCCCCGUACACAAAAGCGCAUGUGCUGUGAGCUCGAUGAGUAGGGCGGGACACGUGGUAUCCUGUCUGAAUAUGGGGGGACCAUCCUCCAAGGCUAAAUACUCCUGACUGACCGAUAGUGAACCAGUACCGUGAGGGAAAGGCGAAAAGAACCCCGGCGAGGGGAGUGAAAAAGAACCUGAAACCGUGUACGUACAAGCAGUGGGAGCCCCACCACUAAGCCAGUGGUGAACUCCACAUACGCAUCCUUUGCUGAGGAUACGGUUAACGGAGCGCAAGCGACGUUCAACCGCAAAAGAAGCAGAGGGGGCUUAGUGGUGGGGUGACUGCGUACCUUUUGUAUAAUGGGUCAGCGACUUAUAUUCUGUAGCAAGGUUAACCGUAUAGGGGAGCCGGAGGGAAACCGAGUCUUAAUUGGGCGUUAAGUU
rnacentral:rRNA from 2 species